CUGCAGUAGUCAUAUGCUUGUCUCAAAGCUUAAGCCAUGCAAGUCUCAGUACAGACUAUAUUAAAGUGAAACCGCAAAAGGCUCAGUAAACCAGUUUUAAUUUACUAGAGUUAACUUGACUGUGCUUGGAUAACUGUGGUAAUUCUAGAGCUAAUACAUGCAACAAAGCCGUGACCAUUCGUGGUCAGGGCGCUUUUAUUAGACCAAGACCAAUCGCCCGGCCAGUCCGGGCGUUAAGUUGAGGAACCUAGAUAACACAGCAGAUCGCAUGGUCUUUGUACCGGCGACCUAUCUUUCAAAUGCCUGACUUAUCAACUGACGAUGGUAGACUCUGUGUCUACCAUGGCUGUUACGGGUAACGGGGAAUCAGGGUUCGAUUCCGGAGAGGGAGCCUGAGAAACGGCUACCACAUCCAAGGAAGGCAGCAGGCACGCAAAUUACCCACUCCCGGAACGGGGAGGUAGUGACAAAAAAUAACGAUACGGGACUCGAUAUGAGGCCUCGUAAUCGGAAUGAGUACACUCUAAAUCCUUUAACAAAAAUCUAUUGGAGGGCAAGUCUGGUGCCAGCAGCCGCGGUAAUUCCAGCUCCAAUAGCGUAUAUUAAAGUUGUUGCGGUUAAAAAGCUCGUAGUUGGUUCUGCGUCCCGCGCUGUCGGUACACCGUUUGUCGGUGACACUGGCAUGACGCGGGAUGUCCUGUCGGUGGCGGCGGAGACCAUAUCGCCGUCGGCUAACACCGCGGCGUGUUGGCCUUCUGUCGCCGGCUUUAUCCUACCGCGGUGCUCUUCACUGAGUGUCGAGGUAGGCCGACACGUUUACUUUGAACAAAUUAGAGUGCUUAAAGCAGGCAAAAAUCUCUGCCAGAAUAGUGGUGCAUGGAAUAAUGGAACAGGACCUUGGUUCUAUUCUGUUGGUCUCCGGAACACAAGGUAAUGAUCAAUGUGGACAGGCGGGGGCAUUCGUAUUGCGGCGUUAGAGGUGAAAUUCUUGGAUCGUCGCAAGACGCACUAGAGCGAAAGCAAUUGCCAAGUAUGUCUUAAUUGAUCAAGAACGAAAGUUAGAGGUUCGAAGGCGAUCAA
rnacentral:rRNA from 1 species